rnacentral:rRNA from 1 species
GAUGAACGCUGGCGGCGUGCUUAACACAUGCAAGUCGAACGUGAGAGGUAGCAAUAUCUUGAAAGUGGCGAACGGGUGAGUAACACGUAGGUAACCUGCCUCGGAGUGGGGGAUAACAGUUAGAAAUGACUGCUAAUACCGCAUGAAUCCAUGGAUUAGGGAUAAUCGAUGGAGAAAACUCUGGUGCUUCGAGAGGGGCCUGCGGCCGAUUAGCUAGUUGGUGGGGUAAAGGCCUACCAAGGCGACGAUCGGUAGCUGGUCUGAGAGGACGAUCAGCCACACGGGAACUGAGACACGGUCCCGACUCCUACGGGGGGCAGCAGUGAGGAAUAUUGGGCAAUGGGCGGAAGCCUGACCCAGCAACGCCGCGUGGAGGAAUGAA